AUUGAACGCUGGCGGCAUGCCUAACACAUGCAAGUCGAACGGCAGCACAAUAAGUUUUCGGACUUAUGGGUGGCGAGUGGCGAACGGGUGAGUAAUGCGCAGGAAUAUACCUUAAAGAGGGGGAUAACUUGGGGAAACACAAGCUAAUACCGCAUAAUCUCUGAGGAGAGAAGCUGGGGACCUUCGGGCCUGGCGCUUUAAGAAUAGCCUGCGUCCGAUUAGCUAGUUGGUAGGGUAAAGGCCUACCAAGGCGACGAUCGGUAGCUGGUCUGAGAGGAUGAACAGCCACACUGGGACUGAGACACGGCCCAGACUCCUACGGGAGGCAG
rnacentral:rRNA from 1 species